rnacentral:rRNA from 1 species
UACGGGGGGGGCAAGCGUUGUUCGGAAUUACUGGGCGUAAAGGGCUUGUAGGUGGCCAACUAAGUCAGACGUGAAAUCCCUCAGCUUAACUGGGGAACUGCGUCUGAUACUGGAUGGCUUGAGUUUGGGAGAGGGAUGCGGAAUUCCAGGUGUAGCGGUGAAAUGCGUAGAUAUCUGGAGGAACACCGGUGGCGAAGGCGGCAUCCUGGACCAACACUGACACUGAGGAGCGAAAGCCAGGGGAGCGAACGGG